rnacentral:rRNA from 1 species
UACGGAGGAUGCAAGCGUUAUCCGGAAUGAUUGGGCGUAAAGCGUCCGCAGGUGGCUGUGUAAGUCUGCUGUCAAAGAGCAAAGCUCAACUUUGUAAAGGCAGUGGAAACUACAUGGCUAGAGUGCGUUCGGGGCAGAGGGAAUUCCUGGUGUAGCGGUGAAAUGCGUAGAGAUCAGGAAGAACACCAGUGGCGAAGGCGCUCUGCUAGGCCGUAACUGACACUGAGGGACGAAAGCUAGGGGAGCGAAUGGG